ensembl:lncRNA
GUAAGAGAAUGUAUGCCGUAAUCGUAGAACAGAGGCCAGAAGUCUCUAAGUCUGAAUGCCCCACAGAAAUAAGGCAGAAACCUGAACCAGGACGAGAGGUUCCACAUCUGAUGAUCCAAGGGGACCAGAAGGACCUCUCCCAGUGAUACCAGGAGAUCCAGUCUACGUUUGAGUGUUCCGAAGUAAGUGGGAUCAGCCGAGGAGAGAAGGACCCUACGAGGUGGCAACAGCCACAAACACGGCCGUCCAAGUGAAAGGAAGCAAGACGUGGUAUCAUCUGAACCACUGCACCUAAGUCCCGACGGAGAGAAGGACACAACCAUACAGAGAUGAGGACACAGAGGAUGCUGAUUCACCAGGCGGGACCCUGGAGGGAGCAGGAGCAGCGGAAACGAUCAAAGCGCCGGGGAGGAAUCAAGAAAAUGGCAGACCAGAUACAAGCCAAGAUACAACGAGUGCAUCAACUAACGCACUCAGAAGAAGCACCAGGGGAAAAGAGCCUGAAAAGAAAAGAGACAAACAACCAAAGUUUCCUCCAGUAUGGCCAGAAACCCCAGAAGUGGGGGGGGGUAACAUAUCUGCUACUCCUGAUGAUAUACCUGUUGGGGCAGACCUCUUUGACAGAAGCCCUCCACAGUGGGACCCCGAAGUAUCACCUACAGAAUGGGAACAUCUCUUCCCUAAAAAUUUACACCCUUCCAGAUGGAAGCCCAGUCCGGCCUGAGGAGGGAGCCUCAUGGGAAGAAAGAGGAGGAGAGGCCUCACAAGGAACAGAAGGAGAGACCCCACAAAGAGGAGGAAAAGUCCAGCAAGCUGAAGAAAAUGGGGAUUUCCCCAAAAUUGACUUUUCAGCUCUUGAAUGGUCUCCUUAACAGACACUUGAAGUUAGAACCACAGAAGAACAAUGACAUUGACAUAACAGAAGUAACAGUGAACGCUAGUAUAGAAACAACAGACUCACGCACAAUCAAGAUGUAGGGUGGAAACAGGAAGAGAAGAGAGGAACCAGUCAAACAAUCUAGAAAGACUGACAAGAUUAGAAUCUCUGUUCCACCUCAACACAUAACUGAAACAGGAGAACAGAAGACAAAAGGAUCAAACCCUUACCGGAGAUUGCAUUCGGUGGAUGGACACAUCAUCAAACGAAGGGAGGAGUCAUUUGGGACUCAAAAGGAUGUGACCUGACGUUAACCAAAGAAGUAGACGAGUGGGUGCUCACCAUGAAUCAGAUUGAACCAGUUGAAGGUGAAGAAUUAAUAGUUGAAAAUAACGAGAACAAUAUUGACCGAAGGGAGUAGCUCCUCAGUCAUUAGAAUUGGUCUUAGGCCAAUACCUAAACAGGAAGAGCCUGUGGUAGCUAGAAAGCAUCAGAACCGGGAGGGUUCUUUACUGACAUUUGGAACUUUUUGAAAAACUCUAAUGAUAUACCUCAAGACAAGAACAUUGUAAAAACGACAUCUAUCUCAGAAUCUGAACCACUCAAGGACACCACACGAGAAGAAGUAGUGAAGAAUGAGUGAAUAGUGAGUGAAUAGUUAACGUUGUGUUAUGCUAAUGAGCUUGCGGAUAGAUUUACACAAUCCUGGAUACAGGUUUUUUUCCGUAGCUAAACGUGACGCAGAAAACGGAGCGAUUUGUCCUAAACAAAUAAUCUUUCAGGAAAAACUGAACAUUUGCUAUCUGAGAGUCUCCUCAUUGAAAACAUCCGAAGUUCUUCAAAGGACCUGAGCCCUAGGACCAUGCCUCAGGACUACCUGACAUGAUGACUCUGCUGUCCCCAGUCCUCCUGGCCGUGCUGCUGCUCCAGUUUCAACUUCCACCUGACUGUGCUGCUGCUCCAGUUUCAACUGUUCUGCCUUAUUAUUAUUCGACCAUGCUGGUCAUUUAUGAACAUUUGAACAUCUUGGCCAUGUUCUGUUAUAAUCUCCACCCAGCACAGCCAGAAGAGGACUGGCCACCCCACAUAGCCUGGUUCCUCUCUAGGUUUCGGCCUUUCAAGGGAGUUUUUCCUAGCCACCGUGCUUCUACACCUGCAUUGCUUGCUGUUUGGGGUUUUAAGCUGGGUUUCUGUACAGCACUUUGAGAUAUCAGCUGAUAUACCAAGGGCUAUAUUAAUACAUUUGAUUGGAAAUUGUUUUUAACAUAGUCUUUAAAAGUAAUAACUAUAAUACAGGCCUACCGUAUCCGUAAAGAGCUCUUCAAUCCAUUCAUGUUGCUUCUUCGUCAUCUAUAACAAUCACUUCUGUUGGGGUGUUGGUUCUUGAUCCUCUAUAACAAUCACUUCUGUUAGGGUGUUGGUUCUUGAUCCUCUAUAACAAUCACUUCUGUUGGGGUGUUGGUUCAUUAUCUAUAACAAUCACUUCUGUUGGGCUGUUGGUUCUUGAUCCACAUCCAUUAGUUCAGGUAGCUCCUUUGUAAAUGUAGGCUAUCCUUUAUAGAUUGACAUAAUAUUACAAUAUACAUUUUUACUUAAAAAUGCAGAUCAUUUACAUAAAAUACAAUACAGUAAAAAUUAAAAUUCUAUGUCAUUCAAUCUAAAAAAAGUCUGCAGAAACCAAAUAUUUGAACAUUGUUAAAUAUUUGAAAAAAAAAACUUCUUAUAAAUUGAAAGAGCGAUAACAUUACAGAUACAGUCCACACACACACACACACACACACACACACACAC